ensembl:lncRNA
AAGGAAGUUCAUUAGAUCAUCCUACAAAGAGAAAAAUCUACUUGAAUUCCCUUGGAAGAGUUCCAUCAUGUUCAAUUACAUUGAAGAUGCUGCCCUCAGCAAGUAAAGCAACAUGCACUGCUUUUUGGGAUAGGAAAGGACUGAUCCUUCUUGAUUUCCUGGAGUCCAGACAAACCAUCAACUCCAUCUGCUAUAUAUCAGCUGUUUAGGGAAAGGACGUAUAUGAAGCCUUCCUCAGACAACUGGAAGAAGUCUCACAUUUGCAGAUGUGUUCACCACCUCAGUAUCUGCCAGAAGGGCACCAGCAAGCCAGGAGGCUUUUGGAGUGCAGUGACAGCUUCCUAACACAGUUGUACCAUUCUGAAAGCAACAGAACACAACAGUAAG